rnacentral:rRNA from 1 species
ACUCAAAUGAAUAGACGGGGGCCCGCACAAGCGGAGGAACAUGUGGUUUAAUUCGAUGAUACGCGAGGAACCUUACCCGGGCUCGAACGGUGCAUGAAUGUUCAAGAGAUUGGAUAGUCCUUCGGGACAUGUAUCGAGGUGCUGCAUGGUUGUCGUCAGCUCGUGCCGUGAGGUGUCGGCUUAAGUGCCAUAACGAGCGCAACCCUUGUCAUUAGUUACCAUCAGGCAAAGCUGGGGACUCUAAUGAGACUGCCACCGUAAGGUGUGAGGAAGGGGGGGAUGACGUCAAAUCAGCACGGCCCUUAUGUCCGGGGCGACACACGUGUUACAAUGGGGGGUACAGAGGGCAGCCAUCCGGUGACGGAGCGCUAAUCUCCAAAACCCUUCUCAGUUCGGAUUGGAGUCUGCAACCCGACUCCAUGAAGUUGGAUUCGCUAGUAAUCGCGCAUCAGCCAUGGCGCGGUGAAUACGUUCCCGGGCCUUGUACACACCGCCCGU